GCCCUUGUAGCUCAGUGGUAGAGCGUCAGUCUUGUAAACUGAAGGUCAUUCGUUCAAACCGGGUCUGGGGCA